CCAGACCCGGAAGAUGGUAUCGGCGUAUCUCUGUCUGUUUUGGUUGAGUCACCUCGGACCAUGCCUUAACCACUGAUGCCUUACUGUGUGGUUAUAGGCAGAAACCAACUAGAAUCAUGCAAACUAACAGAUAAUUCUUGCGACAAACUAAGGCCUUAUUUGUUUAUUUUUAUGCUUACAAAUGUUUAGAUCUUACAUCGGUUUGGCGGUGUAACGAAGGAUUCGUCAAAAUGAUGGAGGAAGAAAUGGAUAGGUUCCAAGUACCCCCAGUAACAGAGACACAGCCCUUGCAGGACCCAGCAGCAUCCGACACCUCUGAGGCCGACUCUGACACUAGAGAAGGUGAGACGGUGGCCAUGAACUACAAGCCCUCCCCACUGCAAGUGAAAAUAGAGAAACAGAGAGAGCUGGCCAGGAAGGGAUCAGUAAAGAAUAGCCCUGUCAACCACCAACCAAAGAAGAACAACGUCAUGGCCAGAACACGUUUGGUGGUGCCAAACAAAGGCUACUCCUCUUUAGACCAGACCAGCCCGGAUGAGAAGCCCCUGGUUACGCUGGACACAGACAGUGAUGAUGACUUUGACAUGUCCAGAUACUCUUCGUCUGGAUACUCCUCCGCCGAGGUGAGAUGUCUGAGGGACCAGCAGAUCAACCAGGAUCUCAACAUCCAGCUUCUGAAGGACGGUUACCGGCUCGACGAAAUCCCUGACGAUGAAGAUCUGGAUCUGAUCCCGCCCAAAUCAGUCAACCCCACCUGCAUAUGCUGCCAAGCCACCACCUCCUCAGCCUGCCAGAUCCAAUAGCCCCUCCCACAAUAUACGCCAUGACUCCGCCCUCUGCAGUGAGCUCACCUCACCACUGGGGCGGUGACAGGGAGAAAGAAUGCAAUGAUCGGAGGGGGAGAAAAAAACAGAAGAAUAGGUCUAUUGGAAUUAGUGUGGAUAUGAAAAGGGUGAAAAUGCACAAAAUAUGUACUCCUAUGGUAGGACAUGUGCGUACAUUUGUUUGUUAUGUUCCAGUGAGAUACUCGUUUUUUUUGUCUGAGUAGUAUUCUUGGAAAAAAACACAAGGACAAAAGAAGGACUCAAGAAUGCAGUGUUUCCAAGAUUGCCUGUUGUGGAAUAGAUCUUCGCCUUUGCAUGUCCUCCUGAAAGUCUUUGUUUCUGUUACGAUUGUUUGGCAUGACAAUGACCGUAGGAGUUGGCAAGACUGCACAAACUUAUCUGGGACCACGCUAGUGAAGCCAGUGUGUAUUUAGUGUCAUUCUACUAAUAUCCACAUGAAAAUGAUUGUAUCUUAUAUAGUGGAUAUUUCGUUAAAUCUUAAUAGGUUUCAGUUACCCCUCAAAAAUCAUUGUGUAUUAGGUCUUCCUGCUUAUACUUGUACUCAUUGUUAAUUUCAGUUUAUGCUGUCUUCACUUGUCUACUAUUGUACUUAUGAUCUUGGGAUAUUUUCCUUUUUUUGUGUGUGUAAAUUGCUUUGAACAGUUGAAUGAAAAUGGAUUAUUAUUAUUACACAUAGGUAAGAAAAGCUCAUUUUCCAAUGUGCUUAAUAGGAUUAAUGUGCUAACGAGUACUGUACCUGCCAUACUGUAAUACCAUUUACUAGUCCUGACACCCAGUGGGUGUGGGUAUUGUAGUUUAACUGUGCCAAAGGCACAUUCCUUUCCUGGUAUGAUGGUGUAAAAUAAAUCAUUCUUAAUGAAGCCAUCCAUUAUGGCCGUUAUGCCCAUGAAAGUUAACAAGAGAUGGUGAUAAAUUAUUAUAUCAAUAUACCAGUUGAAAUGGAGAAUGUGUCCUUUCUGAUUUCUGGAGCAGGGAUGAUACCAGCAAACUUGUACUAAUGAUAGUGGUUUGGCAACAUGUCCACCUUUACCCACAGCAGCCCAUGUUCUCUAGGCUAUAGUGCUUCCAGAAGUAGGCUGUAGUGCCACCUUGUGCUUCUCUCACUGCCACCGACACAGUCACGAGCCAUUCAUAGGAGUCUGUGCAACCACACAUGCACUGUACACACGGUACACAAACACAGCGUGCACUGUAAAAUGUGUCACAUGAAGAAUUGCAACUUGUUGAAAGGGAAUGUCUAACAAUCCAAGACUGUGUAUAGCAUACUGUAUGUAACGAAAGGGAUGGGAAAUGUAAGGAUGUUCUUUACUAUACUGCUUUGGGCGCUUGGUUAUCCAAUGCAUUCCACCGUAGUGCGAUGAAUGAUAUGAGGAAGGGUUGACUCUAGUGUGAAUCCACUCAAAUGAUGGACAAUUCAAGUGCAAACAGGUCAAUCCAAAACAAUGAAAAUACCUGCUGUUUGUGAUGGUACAAAACAGGGAACACUGUGUUCAGUAGGCACGAAAUGGAAAAACGCUUAAGAUAACAUCAUCCCGAUGGCAAAUGCAAUGGGAAUGUAUACCUGCUUUGGCUGAGACCUAAGCGUUAGUUUCCCCUGUCAUUGAACUGAGUUCAUACUUCAUCUCACCCCUGAGUUAACUAAAGUAGAGUAUGCCUUAAGUAAUGCAUUUUAGUGGAAGAUAUUUAUUGCCAGUGGUAUGUUUUAAUUUAUUUGAAAAAAUGGGUAUGCAUUUUAACAUGGACACAGAGGGCAACACUUUUACAUCUGUGAAACUGCACCGGAAUAUUACAGUACUGACAAUAUUUUGAGCUUAGUGCCGUUUUGUGGAUGUAAAAGGUUGUCCAUAGUCUCUAUUUUUAUCCAGAUGCUUAUUAUGAUUGUAAAGAAGAUGCGAACAACUUCAGUAUGUAACAAUGUUAUCGUUCUGUGUAGUGUAUCAUGUCUUCUAAUAAAUAUCAGAGGUCUGAAUUAAAAGAUGUGAUGCAAGUUCCAGGAAAAAUAUGCACAUCCAAUGGUCAGGUGCUGGCUGGAAAAAAACGAAACUAAAUCAAAUAGAACAAUGUCAGCAACUAUGUAAUGCAUGUUGUCUUUUGCUCUGUCCAAAAAUAAUUCCAUCUUUGAAAAAAACUGAUGUAAAGUUUGCACCUGGUGAGAGUUUCUGAUAAAAAAAAAAUGUUGAGAGCAAAUUGUAAGCAAUGACCAAGGGCGUGUACAGUAAUUACGUUCACCAGUGAAAGGGGGUUUGACAGUGACUAUGGGCCAGGUCAGAAGGGUGUGGGGAGGGAAGAGGGGGUGAUUAGCCUGACUUUAUCCCCAGAGACAGAUGAUGGACUGUGGCUCCUAUGACAGGACAGUACGAGGAUAUCAUCAGGACGUGGAGCCAUUUUAAUGAGAAUGUUGUCCUGAGCGGCUGUACUACUCCUGCCGUGUUCAGUUACUGCAUGCCUACACGUUGCCUGCUGUAUCCUAUGAGUUCACCACCUAUAGGAUGCAGCAGUACAACGUACAGCAGGAAAAACAUGGUAGGGUCACAUGGCCAGAGUUAUUUAGUAUCUGCACCAGUAUAAAGUUUACACCCGUUAUUUUACUAUUUCAAACAAUUCUAGUGCAGGUCCGCAGUUAAGUUUAUGCAUGUGUUUUGACCAGUGACCUCCGUGUUGGGCUGUGGAGGUUGUCGCGGUGCCACAGUGCAGGCGGAGGCCCGCUCAGCAGAAGAACCGGUGUUAGCAGGACGCUGUGUAGUCAUGAAGCUGCCGGACUUCACCAUGACGCAAAAGCUGGGGGUGCUGUACUCCUCCUGCUCCCCAAAAAACAUGUCCUCCAUCCCCCAGGAUAUCAUACAGAGCUUCAUGGUGAGUGAGAGCGAAGUGCUGCUGCAGUCUACCAUCAUUCCUGUGAGAAUGGAGGACGAGCAGCUCCUCUAUAUGUCCGAAGAGGUCAAGCACGCAGCAGCCACCCUCACCUCCUCUAUACUGGUCCGAGGUGAAAGGAGGAGGGUCUGGAGAGGGGGGCGAGGAAAGAAAGGGGUAGAAACUGAAGAGGGAUUAGGAGGAGUGCAUAUAGCGCAAUGUAAAAUGAGAUUUGAAUAGUCAUACACUUAAUUGGUUCAGCAUCUUUCAUACAUCACAGCUUGAAUUUUUCUCUCUCCCUCUCUCUUUUAUUGAAUUUCUCAUUCUGUCUCGGCAGUGUAUGGUGUAUGGUCACAGCCACCCUAUUUCAGAUUCUAGUGAGCAACACCAAGCCGAUCACUGACAACACAAUCAUCACUCUGGAGGGUGUACUUCCUGGUGCUGGAGAGGAUGUGCCCACCAUAGUAAUCUCGCCCCACUAUGACUCAUACGGCCUUACUCCAGUAAGUCAACAUCACACUGUGUAUGCACUAGUGAAAUAGACAUUUAUUCACAUUGUGUGUGUGUGCGCAUGUGUGUGUGAAACAGUGGCUGUCAUGGAGCAGACUCCAACGGUAGCGGAGUGACCAUCCUGCUUGAGCUGGUCGGUCUCUUCCAGAAACUUUACAACAACCCCUACAGCCAGCCUCCCUGAGUUACUCACACACACACACACAGUGUAUUUUAGCUUUUUUUUUUUACAGAUCAUUAAUGAGUAAUUGUAGCUCAGUUUGUAGAACAUGAUGCUUGCAAUGCCAGGAUAGUGGGUUCAAUUCACCGGACCACACAUAUGUAAAAUAUAUGCACGCAUAAC